UACAGAGGGUGCGAGCGUUAAUCGGAAUGACUGGGCGUAAAGGGUGUGUAGGUGGUUUAAUAAGUUAGGUGUGAAAGUCCCGGGCUUAACCUGGGGAUGUCGCUUAAGACUGUUAGGCUAGAGUACUGUAGAGGAAAGGGGAAUUUCCGGAGUAGCAGUGAAAUGCGUAGAUAUCGGAAGGAACACCAGUGGCGAAGGCGACUUUCUGGACAGAUACUGACACUGAGGCACGAAAGCGUGGGGAGCGAACAGG
rnacentral:rRNA from 1 species